rnacentral:rRNA from 1 species
AUUGAACGCUGGCGGCAGGCCUAACACAUGCAAGUCGAGCGAGUGGCGGACGGGUGAGUAAUGUAUGGGGACUGCCCGAUAGAGGGGGAUAACUACUGGAAACGGUGGCUAAUACCGCAUACUAUCGGAUAACCCAUAUGGGAUUAGCUAGUAGGGGGGGAAAAGGCUCACCUAGGCGACGAUCUCUAGCUGGUCUGAGAGGAUGAUCAGCCACACUGGGACUGAGACAGGGCCGAGACUCCUACGGGGGCAGGAGGGGGAAAUAUUGCACAGUGGGCGCAAGCCUGAUGCAGCCGUGCCGCGUGUAUGAAGAAGGCCUUGGGUUUGUAAAGUACUUUCAGCGGGGAGACGUUACCCGCAGAAGAAGCACCGGCUAAUUCCUUGCCAGCAGCCGGGUAAUUC